UACGUAGGGGCCAAGCGUUGUCCGGAUUUAUUGGGCGUAAAGAGCUCGUAGGCGGUUCGGCAAGUCGGAUGUGAAAUCUCCACGCUUAACGUGGAGGAGCCAUUCGAAACUGCCGUGACUCGAGUCCGGUAGGGGAGUGUGGAAUUCCUGGUGUAGCGGUGAAAUGCGCAGAUAUCAGGAGGAACACCGGUGGCGAAGGCGGGUCUCUGGGCCGAUACUGACGCUGAGGAGCGAAAGCGUGGGGAGCGAACAGG
rnacentral:rRNA from 1 species